rnacentral:rRNA from 1 species
GCAGCAGUGUUUAGUUCCUGAGCGUUGCCGUGGAAAGUUUAGUGAACCUUAUCACUUAGAGGAAGGAGAAGUCGUAACAAGGUUUCCGU